UGGGGAAUAUUGGACAAUGGGCGAAAGCCUGAUCCAGCCAUGCCGCGUGAGUGACGAAGGCCUUAGGGUUGUAAAACUCUUUCGUCGGGGACGAUAAUGACGGUACCCGAAGAAGAAGCUCCGGCUAACUUCGUGCCAGCAGCCGCGGUAAUACGAAGGGAGCUAGCGUUGUUCGGAAUCACUGGGCGUAAAGCGCACGUAGGCGGAUAGUUAAGUCAGGGGUGAAAUCCUGGGGCUCAACCCCAGAACUGCCUUUGAUACUGGCUGUCUCGAGGUCGAGAGAGGUUGGUGGAAUUCCUAGUGUAGAGGUGAAAUUCGUAGAUAUUAGGAAGAACACCAGUGGCGAAGGCGGCUCACUGGUCCGGUACUGACGCUGAGGUGCGAAAGCGUGGGGAGCAAACAGGAUUAGAUACCCCUGUAGUCCCUGAGCGGGCUGGCAAGGCGCAU
rnacentral:rRNA from 1 species